GGUGCCUUCAGGAACUCUGAGACAGGUGCUGCAUGGCUGUCGUCACCUCGUGUUGUGAAAUGUUGGGUUAAGUCCCGCAACGAGCGCAACCCUUAUCCUUAUUUGCCAGCACGUAAUGGGGGAAACUCCAGGGAGACUGCCGGUGAUAAACCGGAGGAAGGGGGGGACAACGUCAAGUCAUCAUGGCCCUUACGAGUAGGGUUACACACGUGCUCCAAUGGCGAAUACAGAGGGCUGCCAACUCGCGAUGGGGAGCAAAUCCCAAAAAGCUCUUCGUAUUCCGAAUUGGAUUCUGCAAUUCUACUCCAUGAAGUCGGAAUCGUUAUUAAUCGGGGAUCAAAAUGCCACGGGAAAUACUU
rnacentral:rRNA from 1 species